UACGUAGGGCGCAAGCGUUGUCCGGAAUUAUUGGGCGUAAAGAGCUCGUAGGCGGUCAGUCGCGUCUGCUGUGAAAACUCGGGGCUUAACCCCGGGCCUGCAGUGGGUACGGGCUGACUAGAGUGCGGUAGGGGAGACUGGAAUUCCUGGUGUAGCGGUGAAAUGCGCAGAUAUCAGGAGGAACACCGGUGGCGAAGGCGGGUCUCUGGGCCGUAACUGACGCUGAGGAGCGAAAGCGUGGGGAGCGAACAGG
rnacentral:rRNA from 1 species